AUACUGACCUUCAGCUUGUUCUGUUGUCAAUUAAAUGCUUCCCCAAUUGUCUGCAGUUUUCCCAGGGUGAGGCUCAUCCAUUGCACUCCAGGUGAGCUGACCCUUGCGACCUCCCCAAAUGCGGGAAACUCAACUGCAUAAUUUGUGGAGGGUCAUGGAAAUGAUUUUUUUUUAAAUGGC
rnacentral:snRNA from 1 species